CCUACGGGCGGCAGCAGUGGGGAAUAUUGGACAAUGGGCGAAAGCCUGAUCCAGCCAUGCCGCGUGUGUGAAGAAGGCCUUCGGGUUGUAAAGCACUUUCAGUGGGGAAGAAAGCCUUGGGGCUAAUACCCUCGAGGAAGGACAUCACCCACAGAAGAAGCACCGGCUAACUCCGUGCCAGCAGCCGCGGUAAUACGGAGGGUGCGAGCGUUAAUCGGAAUUACUGGGCGUAAAGCGCGCGUAGGCGGUCUGAUAAGCCGGUUGUGAAAGCCCCGGGUUCAACCUGGGAACGGCAUCCGGAACUGUCAGGCUAGAGUGCAGGAGAGGAAGGUAGAAUUCCCGGUGUAGCGGUGAAAUGCGUAGAGAUCGGGAGGAAUACCAGUGGCGAAGGCGGCCUUCUGGACUGACACUGACGCUGAGGUGCGAAAGCGUGGGUAGCAAACAGGAUUAGAUACCCCAGUAGUC
rnacentral:rRNA from 1 species